rnacentral:rRNA from 1 species
GAUUCCGGAGAGGGAGCCUGAGAGACGGCUACCACAUCUAAGGAAGGCAGCAGGCGCGCAAAUUACCCAAUCCUGACUCAGGGAGGUAGUGACCAGAAAUAACGACGACGGGUUUCGAUUCGUCGAUUGCAAUGAGCUCAAUGUAAAAUUCUUAGCGAGUACCGACUGGAGGGCAAGUCUGGUGCCAGCAGCCGCGGUAAUUCCAGCUCCAGUAGCGUAUAUUAAAGUUGUUGCAGUUAAAAAGCUCGUAGUUGGACGUCUCUGCGACACGCAGCUCCGCCACGCAACUGGGCACGCUCUUAACUGAGCGGCCGAGACCUGCGGGCCCUUUACCUUGAGGAAACUAGAGUGUUUAAGGCAGGCUCCGCCUGAAUACUGCAGCUGGGAAUAAUGCGCACGACUGUCUUGGCGAGGCAGCUCCACACUUUUAAUAGGAACAGUUGGGGGCAUUCGUACUCAGCAGUCAGAGGUGAAAUUCUUGGAUUUGCUGAAGACGGACUAGUGCGAAAGCAUUUGCCAAGGAUGUUUUCAUAAAUCAAGAUCGAAAGUUAAGGGAUCCAAGACGAUCAGAUACCGUCCUAGUCUUAACCAUAAACGAUGCCGACUAGGGAUCGGGAGAGACGUACACACUCUCUCGGCACCUCACGAGAAAUCCAAGUCUUUGGGUUCUGGGGGGAGUAUGGUCGCAAGACUGAAACUUAAAGGAAUUGACGGAAGGGCACCACAAGGAGUGGAGCCUGCGGCUUAAUUUGACUCAACACGGGGAAACUUACCAGGUCCAGACAUAGUGAGGAUUGACAGAUUGACAGCUCUUUCUUGAUCCUAUGGGUGGUGGUGCAUGGCCGUUCCUAGUUGGUGGAGUGAUCCGUCUGGUUAAUUCCGAUAACGAACGAGACCUCAGCCUGCUAACUAGAUCUUCUUAGAGGGACUUCCUGCUCGCACAGGAGGAAGUGAGGCAAUAACAGGUCUGUGAUGCCCUUAGAUGUCCUGGGCCGCACGCGCGCUACACUGACGCAACCUGCCAGUUCCAAGCCCGAACCGGCCUGGCAAACUGCCAACUGCGUCGUAGUUGGAACUGACCCUUGCAAUUCUUGGUCACGAACCAGGAAUUCCUAGUAAGCGCAAGUCAUCAGCUUGCACUGACUAAGUCCCUGCCCUUUGUACACACCGCCCGUCGCUCCUACCGAUUCCGAGUGAUCAGGUGAACCUCUCGGACCCUGGAAGUUAAGUGAACCUUAUCACUUAGAGGAAGGAGAAGUCGUAACAAGGUA